rnacentral:rRNA from 1 species
AUUGAACGCUGGCGGCAUGCUUUAUACAUGCAAGUCGAACGGGCCGGGGGCGAACUCCGGUCAGUGGCGAACGGGUAGGAGUAAUAGCAUCGGAACGUAAUCCCGUACGUGGGGGAGUAACCCACGCGAAAGACUGGGCGUAAUAACCGCAUAUGCUCUACGGAGGAAAGUAGGGGGACCGGCAAGGCCUCACGCUAUGGGAGCGGCCGAUGUCCGAUUAGCUAGUUGGUGGGGUAA